AGUGAACGCUGGCGGUAGGCCUAACACAUGCAAGUCGAACGGCAGCACAGGAGAGCUUGCUCUCUGGGUGGCGAGUGGCGGACGGGUGAGGAAUACAUCGGAAUCUACUCUGUCGUGGGGGAUAACGUAGGGAAACUUACGCUAAUACCGCAUACGACCUACGGGUGAAAGCAGGGGACCUUCGGGCCUUGCGCGAUUGAAUGAGCCGAUGUCGGAUUAGCUAGUUGGCGGGGUAAAGGCCCACCAAGGCGACGAUCCGUAGCUGGUCUGAGAGGAUGAUCAACCACACUGGAACUGAGACAAGAUACAGACUCCUACGGGAGGCAGCAGUGGGGAAUAUUGGACAAUGGGCGCAAGCCUGAUCCAGCCAUACAGCGUGGGUGAAGAAGGCCUUCGGGUUGUAAAGCCCUUUUGUUGGUAAAGAAAUCCAGCUGGCUAAUACCCGGUUGGGAUGACGGUACCCAAAGAAUAAGCACCGGCUAACUUCGUGCCAGCCGCCGCGGUAA
rnacentral:rRNA from 1 species